rnacentral:rRNA from 1 species
AGCCGUAAACCUAAGUAAUUAACAAACAAAAUUACUCGCCAGAGCACUACAAGCAACAGCUUAAAACUCAAAGGACUUGGCGGUGCUUUAUAUCCCUCUAGAGGAGCCUGUUCUAUAAUCGAUAAACCCCGAUAAACCUCACCACUUCUUGCUAAUUCAACUUAUAUACCGCCAUCCCCAGCAAACCCUAUUAAGGCCCCAAAGUAAGCAAAAACACAUACAUAAAGACGUUAGGUCAAGGUGUAGUCAAUGAAGUGGAAAGAAAUGGGCUACAUUUUCUAAUAUUAGAACAACACCCCAACAGAAGCCUUUAUGAAACUAAAAGCCAAAGGAGGAUUUAGCAGUAAAUUAAGAAUAGAGAGCUUAAUUGAAUAGGGCCAUGAAGC